rnacentral:tRNA from 1 species
GUGUUUUUGGCUAUAUUACGGCAUUAUUUGCACCCCUGCUAAGGGAGUAGGUCGGGAAACCGGCGCGAGAGUUCAAAUCUCUCAAUCCGCGCCA